AGAGUUUGAUCCUGGCUCAGAUUGAACGCUGGCGGCAUGCCUUACACAUGCAAGUCGAACGGUAACAGGUCUUCGGAUGCUGACGAGUGGCGAACGGGUGAGUAAUACAUCGGAACGUGCCCGAUCGUGGGGGAUAACGGAGCGAAAGCUUUGCUAAUACCGCAUACGAUCUACGGAUGAAAGCAGGGGACCGCAAGGCCUUGCGCGGACGGAGCGGCCGAUGGCAGAUUAGGUAGUUGGUGGGAUAAAAGCUUACCAAGCCGACGAUCUGUAGCUGGUCUGAGAGGACGACCAGCCACACUGGGACUGAGACACGGCCCAGACUCCUACGGGAGGCAGCAGUGGGGAAUUUUGGACAAUGGGCGAAAGCCUGAUCCAGCCAUGCCGCGUGCAGGAUGAAGGCCUUCGGGUUGUAAACUGCUUUUGUACGGAACGAAAAGACUCCUUCUAAUAAAGGGGAUCCAUGACGAUACCGUAAGAAUAAGCACCGGCUAACUACGUGCCAGCAGCCGCGGUAAUA
rnacentral:rRNA from 1 species